rnacentral:snoRNA from 1 species
CGGCUAGCCUGUUAAAUUUAGAGGCUGGCCGUUUUGUGUUUUGGUGCUCUCUGGACAUUUAAACAGCUAGCCUCUUAAAUUU